rnacentral:rRNA from 1 species
GAUGAACGCUAGCGGCAGGCUUAAUACAUGCAAGUCGAGGGGCAGCAUGAUUGUAGCAAUACAAUUGAUGGCGACCGGCAAACGGGUGCGGAACACGUACACAACCUUCCAAUAAGUGGGGAAUAGCCCAGAGAAAUUUGGAUUAAUACCCCGUAACAUAACGAUGUGGCAUCACAUUGUUAUUAUAGAUUUUUCGCUUAUUGAUGGGUGUGCGGCUGAUUAGAUAGUUGGCGGGGUAACGGCCCACCAAGUCUACGAUCAGUAGCUGAUGUGAGAGCAUGAUCAGCCACACGGGCACUGGGACACGGGCCCGACUCCGACGGGAGGCAGCAGUAAGGAAUAUUGGACAAUGGACGCAAGUCUGAUCCAGCCAUGCCGCGUGAAGGAUUAAGGUCCUCUGGAUUGUAAACUUCUUUUAUAAGGGACGAAAAAAGGCUUUUCUAAGUCGUCUGACGGUACCUUAUGAAUAAGCACCGGCUAACUCCGUGCCAGCAGCCGCCGCCGUAA